CUCCUGUGCACAGCAAAAUAAUUUGUUACGGCCAAAUCUUUGUCAAUUUUUUUUUUCAAAUAAAUAUAUAAAUUUCAACCAUAUGGUUGUUCAGCACGUCCAAAUUUAAUGUUAACCCCCCUCAUUACUGAGCACUUUUUGAUUGAAAAAUAUUAGCAAAACAUUUGUUUGAAGCAAGGGACGCAUAGUUAGCAUGUAAACAUAGGGCACUGUGGUUUUGUGUGUAGAUUGCUUUGCAAACAAACUUAAAAAUAAGUACAUUUACACAAUUUUUAUUUUUCACUUAAUCGUUCGUAAAAAAAUAUUUGGGAAAUGUAAAGCUUUAGACAAUAUAUAAUGUCAUU